rnacentral:tRNA from 1 species
GAGGAUAUAGCUCAAGUGGUAGAGUGCUUGCUUAGCAUCCAGAAGGUCCUGGGUUCAAUCCUCAGUACCUCCU